CCCCGGACUUCAGCAGUUGUCUUCAGUGACCCAAGCACGGGCAGGACAUUCCGCAGGAGUUCUUGGAUCCCAGCACGAGGCCAUGUAGGGUGAGUCAUGUGGGGCCUGAGAAAAACCAGAUGCUUGGGAAAGAAGUAACAGGAGAUACUGGAAAUACUGUAUGGUCUAGACUGAAUGCUUCAGUGGUUUCAAGAUAAAUAAAGUAGGCCAAGGGUGAAAUGUGUGAGCUCAGUCAGCUUUACCCAGGAGACUUCCAGCUCCUAUCUUCAGGAAACAGCUAAGGCUCGCUUAUGUGACCACAGGCAAACUUGGCAUGCACUUUCCUUGCUUUCUUUCAGCCUGAUCUGUGUACUUGAAUUUAUAGGAUGGUACAUUCCCAUUACAAUCAUUUCUCCAGAUUCUAGGGCCUGAUCUUGGGGCAUAUGGAAAGGCAGUCUCUACAGGCGUUUCAUUCCUGCAGGAGGUGCUAACUGAGGUACCUUCCCCUGCCGAGGAAGGAUGGGUGUUCUGGGGCUCUGCUCUGGCUAUUUGCUCUCCUCAGACGUUACCUGCAAGUGGAUCAGUGCUGAUGAUUGGCAUGUUCACCAGAGACAGAUUUGCAAAGGCUGAGGGAGGACUGGCUGGAUCCAGGAGGGGCCUGAGCCUAACGGUGCUUUAGCCAGAUGGCAUCAGAGAACGUUGUCAUUCACACGGACAUGAGAGAUGGUUCGGAGGUUCCAUCCAGGCUCUGGUACUGUCAUAACACAGGUCCUGUCCAGCUGGGCUCACCCAUCUGUGCCUACGAUAUGCCAGAGCAUUGUCUCAGCUUUCCCAGGAAGAGUUCUUCCAUUGAAGACCAAGAUUUCUAACCCUGCAAAGGCAAGAGCUUUGUGGACAGGAGGCAC